rnacentral:rRNA from 1 species
UACGAAGGGGGCUAGCGUUGCUCGGAAUCACUGGGCGUAAAGCGCACGUAGGCGGAUUGCUAAGUCAGGGGUGAAAUCCUGGAGCUCAACUCCAGAACUGCCUUUGAUACUGGCGAUCUUGAGUCCGGGAGAGGUGAGUGGAACUGCGAGUGUAGAGGUGAAAUUCGUAGAUAUUCGCAAGAACACCAGUGGCGAAGGCGACUACCUGGCCUGUUCUUGACGCUGAGGCGCGAAAGCUAGGGGAGCAAACGGG